UUACCCAAUCGUGAUGUGGUUAUUGCAAUCUUAACUUUUUGAUUGGCAGGGCAAUAUUUUUGUUGCCCUUUUUAUUUU
rfam:Mangrovibacter sp. MFB070 Contig-019, whole genome shotgun sequence.